GAUGAACGCUGGCGGCGUGCCUAAUACAUGCAAGUCGAGCGAACAGAUGAGGAGCUUGCUCCUCUGACGUUAGCGGCGGACGGGUGAGUGACACGUGGAUAACCUACCUAUAAGACUGGGAUAACUUCGGGAAACCGGAGCUAAUACCGGAUAAUAUAUUGAACCGCAUGGUUCAAUAGUGAAAGACGGUUUUGCUGUCACUUAUAGAUGGAUCCGCGCCGCAUUAGCUAGUUGGUAAGGUAACGGCGUACCAAGGCAACGAUGCGUAGCCGACCUGAGAGGGUGAUCGGCCACACUGGAACUGAGAAACGGUCCAGACUCCUACGGGAGGCAGCAGUAGGGAAUCUUCCGCAAUGGGCGAAAGCCUGACGGAGCAACGCCGCGUGAGUGAUGAAGGUCUUCGGAUCGUAAAACUCUGUUAUUAGGGAAGAACAAAUGUGUAAGUAACUAUGCACGUCUUGACGGUACCUAAUCAGAAAGCCACGGCUAACUACGUG
rnacentral:rRNA from 1 species